GAUGAACGCUAGCUACAGGCUUAACACAUGCAAGUCGAGGGGCAGCGCAGUGUAGCAAUACACGGGCGGCGACCGGCGCACGGGUGCGUAACACGUAUCCAAUCUGCCCGCGGCUCGGGGAUAGCCCAUCGAAAGAUGGAUUAAUACCCGAUGGUGUGGUCACUCCGCAUGGGGUUUCCACUAAAGGUUUUCCGGCCGCGGAUGAGGAUGCGUAUGAUUAGGUAGUAGGCGGGGUAACGGCCCACCUAGCCUUCGAUCAUUAGGGGUUCUGAGAGGAAGGUCCCCCACACUGGUACUGAGACACGGACCAGACUCCUACGGGAGGCAGCAGUGAGGAAUAUUGGUCAAUGGGCGGGAGCCUGAACCAGCCAAGUCGCGUGAGGGAAGACGGCCCUACGGGUUGUAAACCUCUUUAGUCGGGGAGCAAAAAGGACCACGCGUGGUCCAUUGAGCGUACCCGAAGAAUAAGCAUCGGCUAACUCCGUG
rnacentral:rRNA from 1 species